CCUACGGGGGGCAGCAGUGAGGAAUAUUGGUCAAUGGUCGGGAGACUGAACCAGCCAAGCCGCGUGAGGGAUGAAGGUACAGAGUAUCGUAAACCUCUUUUGUCAGGGAACAAAGGCGGGGACGUGUCCCCGGAUGAGUGUACCUGAAGAAAAAGCAUCGGCUAACUACGUGCCAGCAGCCGCGGUAAUACGUAGGGAGCGAGCGUUGUCCGGAUUUACUGGGUGUAAAGGGCGUGUAGGCGGAGCUGCAAGUCAGAAGUGAAAUCUCCGGGCUCAACCCGGAAACUGCUUUUGAAACUGUAGCC
rnacentral:rRNA from 1 species